GCCGCCGGGAGCCACGAAAGAGCUGCUGGAGUUCAUUCCUCGUGGGAACUGGAGCGGGCUGCGAUGCUUCGUCCGGUCCUGGUGCCGCUGGGUGCUGCUUUUCAAGCUGAGCGAAGGCUGCAGCGGAGCCUCUCGUCAGUCCGAACCGGAGCGUGAUCUCGUUCCCAUCGUGGAGAUGCAGCGGAAUGGCUUGCGUGACUCGAAUGCUGUUGUGGAUGUUCUGUUCUCUUCAGGAGAGACAGACAGGCAAGGUGCCCGAGGACUCAUGGAUAGGCAGCAUCACUGCAGCCUUCAGAAAGGAUGUCAUCUCUAAGGAGCGGUCACGGUGGAUUCAGCAAGAGGAAGUGAUGAUGGACUGACCUGGUAGCUUUCUGUGUUGUUGUGACUGUCUGGUUGGAUGAGAGAAGGGCAGUGGAUGUUGCGGGGUGGAAUAUCACUUCUGUCAGGUGAGCGCCACAGUGGAGCAUUGAGGAUCAGCCUGAGGAAGGAUGUGAGCUGUCUGACCUGCCUACCUGGUGGCCCUUCAAGAAUGUGUUUGAGUUCUUCCUGCAGGUUCAGGGUGUGUGGCAGGCCCACUGGUGGAGGGAGGAGUGAGCAGUGGUGCUGGAGUUGUUUCAGUCUUCCAGGGCUGUUGUCUUCCCUUGGAUUGCGGUGCAGCUGGUGUGCCAGGAGGAAGGUCCCCAUCCUGGGUGCUGCAGAACUGUCAGGAGUAGCUCCUGUGUGGUGACUGCUCUGUGCUGGUGCUUCUGGUCCUGAAGGUGGGAGGAGUGAGGAGGAGCUGGGUUCUGUGUUCCUGCUGAAGGAGAAAAUUCAUUUCAUUUCAAACCUCAGUGUUUGCCCCCAAAAUACUGGUGACUAACCUUACUUCUGUGGAGCGGAAAGUGGGUGAAGAUGCAUCCCUUUUGUAGAAGAAUGAGUGGCUUGUGAUGGCUUUCCGGGAAGACUGUAUCUGCUGCAGGUGUGAUUGCUCUGCGUUGUGGGGGAGAAUUGGGAUGCCUAAGAAUAUCUGCACUGGAGUGGGAAUGACUAGGCUUAGCUAACUCAAGUUUUCAUGGUGAAGUGGAUACCUGUCCAUCUCUGACUUUAAAACAACAGUAAAUCCUUGCUUACCUCACAAAGAUGCGCUGUCUAUUUCUGUGCUUGGGCUCUGUUUCCUUGCUGCUGCUGAUAUUCAUCUUGGGGGAACACAGAAAGGGAGAAAAAUGACCCCUGAAGCAGUAGACUAUUUAGCAUUGCAUGUUCUGCAAAAGAAAAACAAGUGAGACUUAAUAACAAAUAGUUUUACAAGUUAUCUACUGCAGAAGUACAGUGUGUCAGACUUGCUUUACUCACUGAAUGAAAUGGUAGAGUACAUUGUCAGCGUUUGUAUUGUUGCAACUGUAUUUCUAGAGAAGCAUUUCUUGAGCUCUGUAGAGCUUCCCAGGAUCAUGGUAUGGUGUGCCAUCCCAAUAGAGUGGCUGUGACUGUCUUUCAAAAGAACUCUGCUUUCCAUCUUUUUAAGAAGAGUUCACUGAGAACUGUCUCUGGUUUCUUGGUAGGUAACCUGAGCUACUGCUUCACUGCACAACCCUUUGGAUUGAAUUGUGAAUCAGAAAGCAUACUGGAUCAGAAGGGACUUGCAACUCUGGGAGACUGCCCGGACUUCAACUGCUAUGGCUGGGAGCAGCGUCCAAAUGCUUUGUGAACUGUCAGCCAUGGGGUGUGACUGCUGUCUCAGAGAAGCCUGUUUUGCUAUCUCACCCCUCUUUCUGACAAGUUUUUCUUCAUCUGCAACCUCUACCUUCUCUGACCUCUACAGCCUCCUUUCAGCUUAAAAAGAGAGGGAAUUUGAGCCUUCCUUGGAUGCUCCCUGAGAGCUCUUAUUUUAUAUUAGAGGUUGCAGAGCUGCACACUAUGCUCACGGUGAGGCUUUACCUCCCUGGAGCAGUGUGGGAUGAUCCCUUCCUUUGUUCAGCCGGUUGUGCUGGGCCUGAGGUGCCCCAGGGUGUGGUCAGCCUUCUAAAUGACCAGGCAUGCUGCUGACUUGAAUUUAACUUGCUGUCAACUGUGGCACCCAGAUUCCUUUCCCUGGGGCAGCUCUCUGACCUCAUUCCCCCUGUUCUGUAUGGGUAGCUGGGGUUGGCCUGUCUCACAUACAGAAUCAGGUGCUGGCUACUGACAAAAUUCACACAGUUGGUGACUGUAGGGCCUGCUACUGUCUAGAGUUUGCUCUGGAGAGCCUGUUUACCCCUGAGGAGUCCCCAGCUCCUCCUAAUUUAGUGUCAUCAGCAAAAAUACUUAAUAUGCAUUUGACUCCUGUGUCCUGAUCAUUUAUAGAAAUACCAAAGGGAACUGCCCCUGCCAAGAAGCCCCUGGAAUUUGACUGGAACCCGGUUGCCAGCCUCACAUAAUCUCAUUUAAUUCUAACAGAAUUAGAUUUAGAUUUAAUUAGAUUUAGAUCUAAAUUUAACAAAUACUUGGAGCUGCUUUUGUGUAGGGGACUGAGUCACUGCUUGCUCUUUGUUUGUCUUAAGAGGUAUACUUAGGAAGGGCUGUUUUCUGACACAGCAUUUAGUUUCUGGAUCCCCUUACCUGACAAGAAUUUUCCUUACCUACUCAAAGAGAUAAUACACACUUGGAAUUACACCACAGGCAAAGAUGUCUUGUUUUUGAACAGAGGGAGUUAAUAAAUGCAUCCCUCUAAUAGAGGAAUGGAAUAAGAUCUGUCUUAUAGCAUUAAUAAAUUCAUAGCUACGGAAUAAAGUUGGAUAUUUUCAACCACUACAAUCUAAGUCAUUUCACUAUUCACAUUUUCUGCAUAGUAAGAUUACUGGGGUGUAUCCUACCAUUAAUAGUCAGAAUGACUGACCAAGAAGUACAGAUUGCCACAAUAAAACCUAAAGCUGCAAGAAACAAACAACAACAACAAAAAAAACCCACAAAAAACAACCCCUCUUCUGUUGGUUUGAAAAGUAUUUCCUGGGCACCCACACUCAGAAGAGAGCCCCCCAUGGACAUAAUACUCUUUGUAGUGUCUUUCAUGACAAACAGAGGUUUAAAUUCUCCUUACGCUCACUUUAACCAGAGUGCCAGACUAUACAAGUGAAAUCCU
ensembl:lncRNA